UCUACAAAGAACUUCACAACUUUGGGAUCUUUAUAAAUCUGAAGGCCAACAGAAGAUAUUCAGGAGUCAUCCACUUGGGGAAGCCUAACUAAUAGCCUUGCAGAACAAAAAACUGUGGUUCUGUGUGAACACUGAAAAGCAUUGAUUUUCACACAAGAUGAAGAACACAGGCGCUUCCUGAGAGAAGUGAACAACUUUUGUGAAGCUGUGUUUUGCAGAAGGGCUUGACAUCAAAAAGAACAUCUGGAGAACAGCAAACCAGAGGGAUGUGUGCAAGGAAGUCCAGGAAAAUGGAGCAGUGAACCAAGGAACGAAAGAUCUAGGUCAGUGGCACCAACUCAGAAAGCAAAAGCAGCUGCUGGACCACAGCUCAGCCACAGGCUGGCAGAGCAAAAGACCCGGCAGCCCAGCCUGACCUGGAAGAA